UGGUUCGAUUCCGGCUCGAAGGACU
rnacentral:piRNA from 2 species